rnacentral:rRNA from 1 species
UACGGAAGGCAGCAGUGGGGAAUAUUGCACAAUGGGCGCAAGCCUGAUGCAGCCAUGCCGCGUGUAUGAAGAAGGCCUUCGGGUUGUAAAGUACUUUCAGUCGUGAGGAAGGUGUUAAGGUUAAUAACCUUAGCAAUUGACGUUAGCGACAGAAGAAGCACCGGCUAACUCCGUGCCAGCAGCCGCGGUAAUACGGAGGGUGCGAGCGUUAAUCGGAAUUACUGGGCGUAAAGGGCACGCAGGCGGUUAAUUAAGUUGGAUGUGAAAUCCCCGGGCUUAACCUGGGAAUGGCAUUCAAGACUGGUUAGCUAGAGUCUUGUAGAGGGGGUAGAAUUCCAUGUGUAGCGGUGAAAUGCGUAGAGAUGUGGAGGAAUACCGGUGGCGAAGGCGGCCCCUGGGACAAAGACUGACGCUCAUGUGCGAAAGCUGGGGAGCAAACAGGAUUAGAUACC